rnacentral:rRNA from 1 species
GACAGAGGGUGCAAACGUUGUUCGGAAUUACUGGGCGUAAAGCGCGUGUAGGCGGCCUUGCAAGUCGGAUGUGAAAGCCCAGGGCUCAACCCUGGAAGUGCACUGGAUACGACGGAGCUGGAGUACUGAAGAGGAGAGCGGAAUUCCUGGUGUAGAGGUGAAAUUCGUAGAUAUCAGGAGGAACAUCAGUGGCGAAGGCGGCUCUCUGGGCAGAUACUGACGCUGAGACGCGAAAGCAUGGGGAGCAAACAGG